GAAUAUUGGACAAUGGGCGCAAGCCUGAUCCAGCCAUACCGCGUGGGUGAAGACGGCCUUCGGGUUGUAAAGCCCUUUUGUUGGGAAAGAAAAGCAGUCGGCUAAUACCCGGUUGUUCUGACGGUACACACAGACUAAGCAACGGCUAAUUUCGUGCGAGCCGCCGCGGUAAUACGAAGGGUGCAAUCGUUACUCGGAAGUACUGGGCGUAAAGCGUGCGUAGGUGGUUGUUUAAGUCUGUUGUGAAAGCCCUGGGCUCAACUUGGGAAUUGCAGUGGAUACUGGGCUACUAGAGUGUGGUAGAGGGUAGUGGAAUUCCCGGUGUAGCAGUGAAAUGCGUAGAGAUCGGGAGGAACAUACAUGGCGAAGGCAGCUACCUGGACCAACACUGACACUGAGGCACGAAAGCGUGGGGAGCAAACAGG
rnacentral:rRNA from 1 species